rnacentral:lncRNA from 1 species
AGCGAUUUAAGAGCCUCGGAAAUUUCCUUUAAGGUCAGGAGAGAAGCUGGUAACAGAUGGGGCGAAGGAGGAAAAGUUCUUUUUGCGGCACCCUCACGCCUUCCCAGCCCUUUCGCGGUUUACUCGCUCCCCGGAAAGCAGGGCAUUCAAGCAGCCCUGAGGAGAGGUCCACAUGGUGAGCCACUGAGGGCCUUGCCAAGAGCCAGCACCAACGGUCCAGGUUUGGAGUGUACCACCUUGGAAGUGAAUCUUCCAGUCCAGUCAAGCCUUCAGAUGACUUCAGAACCGUCCAUGUAAGCCACUCUUGGAUUCCUGACCCACAGAAACUGUUGGAGUAAGUGAUGUUUCUGAAGCACCAAUGAAAAUGAAGUCCUGAAGUCCUGUGCUCAAUAUGAAAUGUUGGAAGUUAGAAGAAAAAAACAAAACUUGGAUCCAAUCUCAAGGCACUUUUUGUUUAAUGGGAAGAAGUGGAUUAUUUUAAAAGCUACAAAUAAAGUUACAUAAAAGUAGCAA